rnacentral:misc_RNA from 1 species
GAUGAAGAACGUAGCGAAAUGCGAUAAGUAGUGUGAAUUGCAGAAUUCAGUGAAUCAUCGAAUCUUUGAACGCGCAUUGCGCCCCUUGGUAUCCCGAGGGGCAUGCCUGUUCGAGCGUCAUUUCACCACUCAAGCCUGGCUUGGUGUUGGGCGACGUCCCCUUUGGGGACGCGCCUCGAAACGCUCGGCGGCGUGGCACCGGCUUUAAGCGUAGCAGAAUCUUUCGCUUUGGAAGUCGGGGCCCCGUCUGCCGGAAGACCUACUCGCAAGGUUGACCUCGGAUCAGGCAGGGAUACCCGCUGAACUUAAGCAUAUCAAUAAGCGGAGGA